CACUUAGAAUGGCAGGGCUCUGAGUUCUCUCACCAUGUGAUGCUCCCUGCUAUCCAAAGAUUUUUAAGAUGUACCAGACACCAAGCAAAUGCCAGCACAGUGCUCUGAGACUGCUCAGUACCUGGAACCCCAAGAAACACAUUCAUUCCUCUUCCAGUACUCAGCCUCGGGUAUAACAGAAAACAGACUUAAAGAGAGACUCAAAAGUUGAGAAAGGAGUUCCUGGUUUCACCAUGUAAACAAACAGACUUCAGCAUGGGAAUGCGUGACACACGUGGAUAGAGAAACUUGGGAACAGAUCGAAGCAGGGCUGAUACAAGUUCUAAUUUACAGGAAGAGGACUGAUACAAACAGGAAAGACAACCAGUGACCAACUACUGCAGCUUUUAGCCACUUUUAAAAACAGAACGCUUUAAGGAUUUUCUUGAUGAGGUGAGAAGAAAAUAUAAAGGAAAACAAUUAAGCUAAGCUCACUGCUGGGCUUUCAGUCCUGAAGUUGACUCAAAAUUACCGCCCCUUUCCUCCAACUUCACAUGGUGAGCUUAGGAUAGGGAUGCUGCUUUUACUGACCAGCCUUUCCAGGUCUCUGGCCGACAUUGAACUCAUCCUGAGAACUUAAAAGCACAAUCCUGGAACAUUCUGCUUUGCCCCAGCUUGUACAGGCUGCUACAGCCCGGGACUAAAUAGUAAGGUCUGAGGCUGCACUUAUACUGAAAAAACAGUUGCUUAGAUUCAACCGGAAUUUUUUUUUUAACUCAAACCAAAUAUUUAAUCAUCUCUCAAAAAUGCCUUGUAGGAGGUAACCAACUUAAACAACUCCAAAAUAUGAUGCCGUACCCCAAUAACUAAAUGUUUCUAUUGUUUUCUCCAAACAAUAAGUAACUUUGCACAUGAAUAAGCUUGCUAUUGCAGAUAUCAGCUUUAUGACCUCUAUGAGUUUGGGUAAAAACAAAUUAUCAACGCGAACACUGUUUCAUUUCUCAGCCCAUCUCUACAGGAGUCCUGCUGAUUCUAUUCAUGAGAAUUUUGAGCUUUGGCUUUUCUUCUGGCACUUAAUCUCUUUCCCCGUUUGCUUACAUUGAUUUGACUCUUUACUGUAAAGUCCUUAGAUUGGACCUUCCGUGUUUUCUUAACCCCAUUGCCUAAAGAGAUAAUUCGUAUAGAUAAAACACAAAAUAGAUGUCUGGUAACUGUAAGCUAAUUUACAACCAAGAAAGAACUGUCUAAAACAGAUUAAAGCCACAAGGAUGAAGCCAAAGAGAGGAGGGCAAGGAUUCUCACCGUCUAUCUGUCUCGGCUGAGGCUCUGCUAUGUGGAAAAGGAAGCUGAGAAGGUUGUUGAAAAGUAACUCUGAUGUCAUCGGCGUCUUCAGAUUCUCCCGUCCUCCUCAGUCAACUGCGCACCUUAAGAACCGGAAAGGAACAGUUUGGCAUCCAUUCCAAACCAGAUUUCGGAACAUUAUUUGUGAUGGUCAAUGCAUUUAUCUCAGAAUCUUUCCUUGCUCGAAUUCAAUACAGAAGGAGUCUUUUAACAGGUACGUAUUCUAGAGUCAUACCUGGUCAAACCCUUAAAACCAAGGUUGACUCCAUCAAUGCUUUGUAACAGCUGUUACAUAUAAAUGACAUAUGUACCAUAUAUAUGUCUGAAUAUGUCAGCGCAGAUGCUGUGGUCUUGAUGAGUGAUGUCUUACAGAGACUCACAUAACUGCACACCUGGGUCCCAGUUGGUGGCACUCUUUAAGGAGGUACAGCCUUGCUGAAGAAAGUCCAUCACUGGGGCAGCCUUGGAGGAUUCCCAGCCUCACCCCACUUGCUGUAUGCACUUCCUCUCCCUGUUUCCUGUGUAUAGAUGAAAGAUGUAAUCUGCCAGCUUCCUGUUCCCGCCACCGGCUGCUAUGUCUUCCCUUCCCACAAUGGACUCUAACCUUGGAAACCACUUCAAGCCAAAAUAAACUCUUGCAUCAGUUGA